rnacentral:rRNA from 1 species
GCUGGCGGCGUGCCUAACACAUGCAAGUCGAACGGGACCGGGGGCAACUUCGGUUCAGUGGCGGACGGGUGCGUAACACGUGAGGAACAUGACCUUCGGCGGGGGAUAGCCGGCCCAACGGCCGGGUAAUACCGCGUACGACCAUUCGGGGACAUCCCUGAUUGGUGAAAGCAGCAAUGCGCCGAUGGAGUGCCUCGCGGCCUAUCAGCUAGUUGGUGGGGUAACGGCCUACCAAGGCAACGACGGGUAGCUGGUCUGAGAGGAUGGCCAGCCACAUUGGGACUGAGACACGGCCCAGACUCCUACGGGAGGCAGCAGUGGGGAAUAUUGCGCAAUGGACGAAAGUCUGACGCAGCGACGCCGCGUGUGGGAUGAAGGUCUUCGGAUUGUAAACCACUGUCGGGAGGGACGAAUACGCCGCAAGGCGGGUGACGGUACCUCCAAAGGAAGCACCGGCUAACUCCGUGCCAGCAGCCGCGGUAAUACGGAGGGUGCGAGCGUUGUCCGGAAUCACUGGGCGUAAAGGGCGCGUAGGCGGCCUGAUAAGUAGGGGGUGAAAUCCUGCGGCUUAACCGCAGGGCUGCCUUCUAAACUGUCAGGCUUGAGCACAGUAGAGGCAGGUGGAAUUCC